GACGAACGCUGGCGGCGUGCUUAACACAUGCAAGUCGAACGGAAAGGCCCUGCUUUUGUGGGGUGCUCGAGUGGCGAACGGGUGAGUAACACGUGAGUAACCUGCCCUUGACUUUGGGAUAACUUCAGGAAACUGGGGCUAAUACCGGAUAGGAGCUCCUGCUGCAUGGUGGGGGUUGGAAAGUUUCGGCGGUUGGGGAUGGACUCGCGGCUUAUCAGCUUGUUGGUGGGGUAGUGGCUUACCAAGGCUUUGACGGGUAGCCGGCCUGAGAGGGUGACCGGCCAUAUUGGGACUGAGAUACGGCCCAGACUCCUACGGGAGGCAGCAGUGGGGAAUAUUGCACAAUGGGCGGAAGCCUGAUGCAGCAACGCCGCGUGCGGGAUGACGGCCUUCGGGUUGUAAACCGCUUUCGCCUGUGACGAAGCGUGAGUGACGGUAAUGGGUAAAGAAGCACCGGCUAACUACGUGC
rnacentral:rRNA from 1 species